rnacentral:rRNA from 1 species
UACGGGGGGGGCAAGCGUUGUUCGGAAUUACUGGGCGUAAAGGGCUCGUAGGUGGCCAACUAAGUCAUACGUGAAAUCCCUCGGCUUAACCGGGGAACUGCGUCUGAUACUGGAUGGCUUGAGGUUGGGAGAGGGAUGCGGAAUUCCAGGUGUAGCGGUGAAAUGCGUAGAUAUCUGGAGGAACACCAAUUGCGAAGGCAGCUCGCUGGGACGUUACUGACGCUGAGACGCGAAAGCGUGGGGAGCAAACAGG